rfam:Monodelphis domestica cont3.019773, whole genome shotgun sequence.
GAGGUUCUUGCUUCAGCAGUGUUUGGACGGAACCUC